CGAAGUGGAGCAAAACUCUAAAAACAAUCUCAGUUCAGAUUGCAGGCUGCAACUCGCCUGCAUGAAGUCGGAAUUGCUAGUAAUCGUAGGUCAGCAUACUACGGUGAAUACGUUCCCGGGCCUUGUACACACCGCCCGUCAAACCAUGAGAGUUGGCAACACCCGAAGUCGGUAGUCUAACCGCAAGGGGGCGCGGCCGAAGGUGGGUUCGAUAAUUGGGGUGAAGUCGUAACAAGGUACC
rnacentral:rRNA from 1 species